AUACCACCAGGGGGCAUACAUAACAUUAUAAAUCUUAAAUAGGAAACUAGCAGUUUCUGCAUCUAAGUACUGAAUUUAAUUAUAGUUUAAUAGCUAAAAGACAAAUGAAACACAGUGCAAAAUAUUAAUAAAUUAUUUCUCACAGAUGAUUUUUCUUACAAUAGCACUUUCUUUCUCUGGAGCAUCAUAUCACAAGUAUCCAAACAUCUUUUCAAAUGUGCAAUUCAUCCUGAAAGCCUCGGAAAUUAUAGGUAAAAGAGAACUCUGUUCUGAAUCCAUUUUUAGCCCUGUGGAAGAUAAGAAAAGAUAUGAGAACACAGAUUCUGAUAUGGGAGGAUAUGAAAUUAACCACCUGCUCUGGCACUGUGUUGCUGCUUGGUCUUGUGUUCAGAAUAACAGUCCUCAGUUGAAUAACGUGCUUGAACAUCUCGUCUUCCAUAAGACACAGCUUCAAAAGAAAUGCUGGUUGGAUUCAGUACUGGCUUUACUGGUCCUUGGGGAGGCUGCCAAAUUAAACAUGGCCUGCUUGAAAGCUUUAAUGGACGUAGUGCGAGAUUUUGUUUCAAGCAUUAUGUCUGUUCAAAAUCAGGAAGAAAGUUGCAAGGUAGAUGAUUUUUCCUGGGCCUGGAAUGUAGUCUACAUAUAUACAGUAAUUCUUGCAGAAAUUUGCUUGUAUGCAGCCACUUCUGAUUUGCGAAAAACUGCUUUAAUUGGUUUCUGUCACUGUAAAAGUUCACAAAAAAAUAUUUUAUACUUGGACAAAUCAGUACCUCCAGAAUUAAAGGAAACAAGUAUUUUAAGUCUUUUGGAAUAUUUAUCUUCAAAAAUGUCAGAGAACUGUGAUCAAGUAGUCUGGACUGGUUACUAUGGCUUAGUGUAUAACCUGGUGAAAAUUUCAUGGGAACUUCAAGGAGACGAAGAACAGGAUGGACUUAGAAACAUGAUAUGGCAAACAUUGCAGAAAACAAAGGAUUAUGAGGAAGAUGUACGAAUCCAAAAUGCAAUCAAUAUAGCUCAG
rnacentral:sRNA from 1 species